GGGGGAGGCGGCGGCCGCAAUCUCGGCCCUGCGGAGCGCUGCCCUUUUAUGGAAAUGAAGGACCAGGCACAGGGAUGGAAUCCAACAUCCGGGCUCUCCGGCUGCGGAGCUGGGGAGGGGGGCGGGGGCGCGCGCGGGGGCCGAGGCGGCGCCUGCGAGCGGGGUCUGGGCUUCGCGCGUGAGAAGCCGCGGCGGGAAGUUCCCAGGCCCGGGGACGUGUGCGGGGAACCUGGGCCCGGGCCGCGGGGACAUCGCGCCGGGGAGCUAGGGAGAGGAGUUGGGAUGCAGAAACUUUUACGAUGUCUGCCUUGAACAUCCCACAAAAGCAGGAGAAAGGUCAGAGGGGCGAAUGAGUCACAAAAGUUGCCUGGCAAGCGGGGUCCGGCACCGAUCCUCAGCUCCUGUUGGACCCCCCGGGCGUGGGCGAGCAUUCCUAACCCCUUCAACCCAAGCGCCUGCCAGAAGCCAGAGCGUGGCCAUUGCGCUCCUGCUGGAAAGGGGGGGGAACAUCCCCUCGGGGCAGUAGUUUGCCCGAGACCGAUUCUCUGCCCUCUCCAACUGUUGGCGCGCACUUGCGACUUUUCAUCCUCAACUUAAAAGACUAUUCAGUGGUUCGGAUGCACGCAGUGUCUUCCUCGCUCCCCGCCACACUUGGAAGAGAUUUAAGGAGCUUUGAACGGUGCUCACAAAGGGAAGAUCUUUACCUGUUGAAGACUGACUAGCGAUGGAGAACGGCCCACAGAGACGGCCCACUUCAUCUUCCCCACUAACUAAUGUACUUACUCUGUUGAAGGGAACUGUUCAGAAUCAGCAAGCCAGUGAAAUAGCCUUAUCUAGCAAAUCCAUGGCUCAAAAUUAUUUAGGUCAUAAAGAGGUGCUCUCAGGUGACAAGAAGAGCCCAGCAGCUGAACAGUGCCAUCUGGUGCCCGGGAGGUGUCAUUUUGAAGCUUUUCUCUCCUUUGAACUAAUCUCACCAAACCAUUAAGGCUCACUACCAACUGUAAUGCCAGUUCUAGGGGAUCCGAUGCUCUCUUCUGGCCCCUGUGGGUAUCAGGAACUGGUGAGAUGCUCAGUAGGUAAAGACGCUUGCCAUCAAGUCUGAUGACCUGAGUUCCAUGCACAGGACCCACAUGAUGGAACUGGCUACCACAAGUUGUUCCCUGGCCUAUGUAUGCAUGCCAUGGUAUGUGCAACCCUCUCCCCCAAUAAAUAAAUGUAAUUUAAAAAGCAGAUAA
rnacentral:lncRNA from 1 species